rnacentral:lncRNA from 1 species
CAGCUCAUGGCAGGAAGUUACCUUAAAUCUUACUCUGUGUGGCUUCCUUUGCAUGCCUGGCACAAGAUACGGAUGUAAUAUAAUGGAGAAACAGACUGGUACUUGCCCUUAGGGGCCCUGCAGUCCAGUGCCCAGGUCAACAGGAGUGUCCUUCUGCAGAGGGAUGGGAGCAAAUGCUUCAGGCUCUGUGAGCCAUGGGGUCUCUGCUGCAGCUCCCAUGGUGUGUAAGCAGCUCCAGCUCCAGCUACUGUGUAAAAGAAUCUCUGGAGGAUCCUUGCAAUGGAGGAUUUGAAAUUGUAUUGGGGAGCAACAACAGUCACUCCUCCAAGUCACCAGGUGUCGCUGGUGUGCCAAAGCGGCGAAGUGUCAGAGUCAAAUUUUCCAGCUGGGUGUCUACUGGAAUCCAUCAGUCCUGUUUCUUCCUCAGCCUGGCUGUUUUGGAUCUACUAAAUCUUUUGAAUUUAGGCUCAGAAAUCAGUGUAUGCAAAAGUUCCUACAUAAAACCAUUCAUUCUUUGGGGUGGG